rnacentral:rRNA from 1 species
ACGCUCGACACCUACGGAGGCAGCAGUGAGGAAUAUUGGUCAAUGGGCGCUAGCCUGAACCAGCCAAGUAGCGUGAAGGAUGAAGGCUCUAUGGGUCGUAAACUUCUUUUAUAUAAGAAUAAAGUGCAGUAUGUAUACUGUUUUGUAUGUAUUAUAUGAAUAAGGAUCGGCUAACUCCGUGGCAGCAGCCGACGGUAAUCUGAGGCGGGCGUGGACGAAGGC